CGCGUAGGCGGCAGUGUAUGUCAGAUGUGAAAUACUCCAGCUCAACCAGAGAACAGCAUCUGAAACUGCACAGCUAGAGUACAGAAGAGGGAAACGGAAUUCCCGGUGUAGAGGUGAAAUUCGUAGAUAUCGGGAGGAACACCAGUGGCGAAGGCGGUUUCCUGGUCUGAUACUGACGCUGAGGCGCGAAAGCGUGGGGGAGCAAACA
rnacentral:rRNA from 1 species